rnacentral:rRNA from 1 species
AACGAACGCUGGCGGCAGGCCUGAUACAUGCAAGUCGAGCGCCCAGCAAUGGGAGCGGCGCACGGGUGCGUAACGCGUGGGAAUAUGCCUUUAGGUACGGAACAACCAAGGGAUACUUUGGCUAAUACCGUAUAAUAUCUUCGGAUCAAAGAAUUUCGCCUAAAGAUUAGCCCGCGUCUGAUUAGCUAGUUGGUGGGGUAAAGGACUACCAAGGCGACGAUCAGUAGCUGGUCUGAGAGGAUGAUCAGCCACACUGGAACUGAGACACGGUCCAGACUCCUACGGGAGGCAGCAGUAAGGAAUAUUGGACAAUGGGGGCAACCCUGAUCCAGCCAUGCCGCGUGAGUGACGAAGGCCUUAGGGUUGUAAAGCUCUUUUGGUGGGGAAGAUAAUGACCGUACCCACAGAAUAAGCCCCGGCUAAAUUCGUGCCAGCCGCCGCGGUAA